AAUCAGAUCCUGUUUUCGUCGCUAGAAUUUGUGUACCUUGAAAUGCAGUACUGGGCAGCAUCAAUCAACAGUCUCAGUGUGCUAACUUUUUUCCUUUGGCAUUACCUGAGGCAAUCUCCCAGCAGUGAAAUCUCUAAAUAUGUGAAAUAUGGAUCGUUGUUGGUAUUAUAUCCCAUGACAUACUCCAUGUCCUUUUUCCUGAAGACUGAUGGAGAAAAAAUGCUUUCGCAAACCAUAAAUCACGCUGCCGCAUUAGCAGUAGUGUCAUGUGCACACUCCAUCCUCUCCUUCCCUCCAUGUCAUCUUGCACGCCAUCGCCAGCAGUGCAGAAUAAAGCAGAGACCUGUUCGGCACCACAAAUCAAAGAUGAGCUCAAGGCGACGACAUAUUGGAGAUCGAGGGAGCUCACCGGCGGCCAACCCGGUGUUGUCACUGGAUCUGUCAUCUCCGGAUUAAUCAUGGAGGAACACCGAAGGGAGCGCGUUCUCAUCAGUUUGUCAUGUAUGAUUUCACAUGCUAAUUAGUUACACCUUUAAAGGUGCA